UGAGUUGAAGCUGAAAGCAAAGCAUUUGGCCGUUAACCAAAAGGAUGAAGGUUUAAACCCUUUCAACUCAG
rnacentral:tRNA from 1 species